UCCUAACUGCUCGGAAACGGGCCUUAAACAACUGGCGACGUCUUGGCGAGAAAAGCGAGUACCCAUAUGACAAGGAUUGGGGAGCCGUGGCAGAACAAAGCUGCUCAAAUAUUGAUCAGCGGCGGCGUCUUUGAGGUGUUUAGUCUCAGCCAGACAGCCGCCCGUGGGACUUGGUGGUGGAACAGAAGAACACAAGUCCGCAGAGGGAGGAGCGCAUCAGCAGAACCGCAGCAUUGAUCAGUGAAGAUCUAUUGGAUACACAUGUAUGGCUGCUGACGGGAGACGGCUGGCCAAACAUCUCCGCUGUGCCAGAUUCCCGACACAAGCUGCAGAUGCACACAGUGACACAGGGUCCCUUCACCCUGCUGGCACAAGUCCCCGCCUGGCCAUCUGGUGCUUGAGGAACAGGUGCCAGUCACUCCUCACGCCUGCCCUCCUAUCUUCCUGAAAGACACAGCCUUCCAACACUAAGGUCCCUUGCACCAGCUUCACAGCUCCUCACCACAUUUCUGCCAACGCACUUAUCUCCUGCUGGGGACACUGCCCACAUAACACCAGAGAGCCAGCGUGUUAGUUGUUCAGAAUCAGCUCACAUGCACAAUGGGUAGCCGAGCUGGAAUAUUCUGAAUAACCUGCUCUCAGCUUGCCUUGUUUUGGCUACUCCUGAAAAAGACAUCGAUUGAAUGCACAAUCACUCACAUUCAUCCGAUUAUUGAAAAGGAAUAAAUUUAUUGGCGGGGAAGAUGGGCCCGCAUGGAACAAACUCGACUGGGAGUAUCAGCUCAAGUUUUGCAGCUUGUAUGGAGAAACUAGAAAUGAGUAGAAAAUGGCCAUUAAUUUGAAAUAAUUGUAAUUAGGUUUUUCUUUCAAAUAAUCAUAAGUGCAGAUAUUCUUGACUCAUUAAUUUACUAUGUAAAUAUAUAUCAGUCACAGUCAUCAAAAGGUUAAAUUAGGGAGCCUGUUUCGCAACACAUCGGCGCUCUUAUCUGGAACUUCCUAAAUACUUCCAGAGGCUCCCAUUUGCUCCGCCGUCACGGUUAAAUCUUAAACUUGCGGGAGAGUGUAACUCAACCCCUACUGGGUUUUAUUUCUAUUUGAUGUGUUUUCGAUUGAUUUAGUUUGUGUUCUUAAUAUAGGCUUUACACCUGGACCAAAUAUCUUGGAACUCUGUAUGUGUGAUGGAUAUUUUGGCUUUAACACACAUUCUUCUCAGCAGAAUAUGCUGCUCUUCCAACAUCAUCUUCUAUAUGCACUUAAGUAGCUCUUCAAAGAUCCCCCCUUGUAUUCCAGCAACGUGAUAAAUGCCACCAUUUCCCCCUCCAUCUCUUUGAUAAGGAUGAGCACAGAUGAAAGAAAAUCUAACAGAGGGAUGCAUUUGCCGUUUGAUAUCCGCCACAUGGAAAGGACAAUCGAGGUGCAGAGGGACGACUGAAUAGAAAGAUGCCAAAUGUUUUAAGCACAAAUGCAACACUUCAGUUAUUUGUACCACUGAUGUCUGCACUCGGGAUUUCUCUAUGAAGAGAGUGAAUCAUUGUGGUACGAUAGUUUGGAGUAGAGAGUAAUCAUUCCUCAAUUACCGUAAUUUCCAGACUAUAAACCGCACCUGAAUAUAAGGUUAGCUAAAAUUAGGGGAAAAUCCUGUUUUGUUCAUCUAUAAGCCACACCGUUCUCAAUUCUAUUACAUAUAUUACCAAAACUAAUCCUUUUACAAUAUUAUAAAAAUCAUAAAAAAAUCUAUAGAUAAGCCGAACUGGACUAUAAGCCAAAGUUCAAAGCUUGUGCAAAAAGUAGAGGCUUUUGUCCUGUACGUUUGGUGCACGGUAAGUUUAGAGUCUAACACUCUACGAUUCAAAUAUCGCUAGAAGUCACCGUUGGCGAGUCAGUUGAUGUCUAGGGUUCACCGUUUCUUUUUAUAUUAAAAAUAAUUUCGUUUAUACGUGCAUAUUUGUAUACUUGUGUGCGCGAGUAUACAUAUACAGUAUACCUGAAUUAUGAUGGGGUUUUUUUCUGCAGGAAGGACGAUCACAAUUCUAAUUUAAAUGCGAUUUAGUGAAGGGAAAAUAUCAUAAAUAAAAUGAUUUGACUGUGUAUACUUUCUGCCCUUGGCCAAUGAUUGCAAGCCUAACAGCUAUUAGAGUCACCUAAGUGUUUUAUUCUUGGAGAUUACCUGCACUAUCAUUUUGCAUCCUUAUUAUACCGUAUGCAUGGGAAAAAAAAACAAAAAACAUACUCAGCAAUCAGCUCUUGAUCUCGGCAAAAGCCAAUUUGCUCGUUGUUUUGCUUCUGCCGCAUAUCAACUAAGACGGGAGUCACUUUGGUUUUCCAUUUUGAUCAUCAGCACCAGUCAAGAACUCUUGAUUGUGCCCAGCGAGUGAGUCAUUUUCAAUCAUGAUAUGAGACUCGUACAGUAUCUGUCAUGAAUAAACAUGGCCAAUAACAGCACCCCCUUCCCUCAUAUUGUUAUAAUUCUCACCUGCUGUAUUAAAAUGCAUAAUCUUUUCACAAUUGCAGCCUGAGUGUGGUCUAUUGUAUCAACAAUAUCAUAGCAAGCAACAAAGACCUAAUUAGUACCUGCCUAGAUAUGAUGAGGAAUAAUUAGCGGAAUCAUGGAGAGUCACUGACAGCAGUCUUACAAGCGGCACACGAGGGCCUAUGAAUGAAACAAAAAUAAAAUCACCAAAUAUUGUAAGGAAAGGAAGAUAAAAAGUGUCAUCCCAUGAUUGGGUGUGGUUGGCUUUUCCAAAGCUGACGUGGUCACCAUGACAUCUUCGCAGAUGAUGUAAAAAGGAAGCGAGACUUGUAAUCAACAAGCCAGUGCUGGUUAAAAUGACACAUUUUGUUUUUCAUGCAGUUCCAGCAAAUAAAAUGGCCUCAUUAAACAGGCGUCUUUGUGGCUCGAUUAGAGGAGUGGAAAGGAGAAAGUAAGGCAGACAAUAUGUCUUCCUUGUUAUUUAAUGUUACGUCAUUAAUCCGAGUGGUAAUAGUAAUUUUGGUAUUGCUAAUAAAUCAUAUGAAAUUUACUCGGUUUUCUGCGUAGCGCCAUAACUAUUUUUGCAUGUGUGUGUCAACACAAACAUUCGUGACACACCUAAUAAAUACCAUUGGCCGCCUGAUCACAUGGGCCAACGUAAUCCGAGCACAUGACAGUUCCCUCAUCCGAAACAAUAAUAGACACAAUUUUAUGUUGAGCCUGAUUUGUUAUUAUCAAGAUGUAAUAUAUUUAACCAGUGCUUAUUUGUAUGCUAACAUUAACUUUUUUUCUCUUUCUGUUUAUAGCCCCUUGGUCAUUAACGUGCUUACUCAUUUGCACAUUUUGAUGAGUUUACCCCGCAGCUGUCUUCAGGCCCGUUGUGAAAGUAUGUGUUGAACUUGUUAAUUUUACUCAUGCGCAAACAUUGUGUGAAAUGACUUUUAAGAGGCUUUCAAAAAUGGCUGCUUUUAUGUGUUUGUGUUUACUCCUAAAAUAGUGAAGAUUGCUAUCGGCUUGCGAAUGCUUUCUGGUUUGUCCCCGCUUGAUAAGAGAACCAAUUGCACGUGUGUGCUUAUGCUUGUUUGUAGAGCGAAUUGGAAAUAGAGAGAGAAAAUGUAGAAUGCAACACACAAAAAGAUUGUUGUGGUAAUAACAUUUGAA